GGACAUGGGAACAUGUUAGGAGUAUCUAGGCUCAAGCCUUCUUGGUCACCUACACACAUACACACACCACAACACAUUGAAGGGUGACUCCUCAGCUCCUGACAGACCUUUCAGAUGGUCACCAGCGAUGACAAUGGCAGGUACAUACCGCCACCCCAGGCAGCCUCCCUCCCCGUCAAACUGCUCUGGCUGGCAAAAAGUUCUUUCUUAGUGCUGAGCCAGAGAAGGCCUGCUUUCUGCAUCUGGAUGAUGACAGUUCAGUGUGGACAAGCCUGGGACAAAGAAUCACACUGAAACAUCAGCUCUUCCUGUACCUUUGGACUGGAACUACCAUCAUUGCUUCUUUUGGGUCUUCAGCUUACCAACUCACCCUGCAGAUCUUGGGACUUGCCCACCUCCAUAAUUGCAUAAACCUUAUCAUUUAUUUUAA